rnacentral:tRNA from 1 species
UACAUUUCAGUAUAUGACGUACGAAAGCUUUUGAAGUUUUAAGGGAUGGUUUGAUUCCAUUAAGUGUAA